CAGGUUGGAGGCUGGUUUUUAUACAGAGGUAACUCACAGGGUGGAUCACCAGCCUGCUGCUGCAGGGCACCAGUCUGGCAGAAGUCCCGUCAGGGAUGGCUGUGGGAAGACGAUGUUACAUAGACUGCCCGGUACACAGUCACACCAGACACAAGCAAGGACCCACGGGCACUGAGCAGGAUGGGAUGGGUAGGCUGGGCAAGUGUCCGGGAGGCCAGGAGGCCAGUUUCUGACCACUGGCAUGCUGCAUCUGGGUGACAGGGUGACUUGGAGUCAGAUGAGUGUGGCAACCCUGUGUGGGGUA
rnacentral:lncRNA from 1 species